rnacentral:sRNA from 1 species
UCCCAUUCUCCUCCCCUCCAGCUGUUCUCAGAUGCCCAGCCGCUGCAGCCUUUGCAGGUGUACCAGGCGCCCCUCAGCCUGGCCACUGUGCCCCACCAGGCCCUGGGCCGUACCCAGUCCUCCCCUGCUGCCCCUGGGGGCAUGAAGAGCCCCCCAGACCAGCCCGUCAAGCACCUCUUCACCACAGGUGUGGUCUACGACACGUUCAUGCUAAAGCACCAGUGCAUGUGCGGGAACACACACGUGCACCCUGAGCAUGCUGGCCGGAUCCAGAGCAUCUGGUCCCGGCUGCAGGAGACAGGCCUGCUUAGCAAGUGCGAGCGGAUCCGAGGUCGCAAAGCCACGCUAGAUGAGAUCCAGACAGUGCACUCUGAAUACCACACCCUGCUCUAUGGGACCAGUCCCCUCAACCGGCAGAAGCUAGACAGCAAGAAGUUGCUCGGCCCCAUCAGCCAGAAGAUGUAUGCUGUGCUGCCUUGUGGGGGCAUCGGGGUGGACAGUGACACCGUGUGGAAUGAGAUGCACUCCUCCAGUGCUGUGCGCAUGGCAGUGGGCUGCCUGCUGGAGCUGGCCUUCAAGGUGGCUGCAGGAGAGCUCAAGAAUGGAUUUGCCAUCAUCCGGCCCCCAGGACACCACGCCGAGGAAUCCACAGCCAUGGGAUUCUGCUUCUUCAACUCUGUAGCCAUCACCGCAAAACUCCUACAGCAGAAGUUGAACGUGGGCAAGGUCCUCAUCGUGGACUGGG